ACAGCCCAGACCGCCAGCUAAGGUCCCAAAGUAUACGUUAAGUGGAAAAGGAUGUGGAGUUGCUUAGACAACCAGGAUGUUGGCUUAGAAGCAGCCAUCAUUUAAAGAAAGCGUAAUAGCUCACUGGUCGAGUGACUCUGCGCCGAAAAUGUACCGGGGCUAAACGUAUCACCGAAGCUGCGGACUGUUCUUCGAACAGUGGUAGGAGAGCGUUCUAAGGGCUGUGAAGCCAGACCGGAAGGACUGGUGGAGCGCUUAGAAGUGAGAAUGCCGGUAUGAGUAGCGAAAGAGGGGUGAGAAUCCCCUCCACCGAAUGCCUAAGGUUUCCUGAGGAAGGCUCGUCCGCUCAGGGUUAGUCGGGACCUAAGCCGAGGCCGAAAGGCGUAGGCGAUGGACAACAGGUUGAUAUUCCUGUACCACCUCCUCACCAUUUGAGCAAUGGGGGGACGCAGGAGGAUAGGGUAAGCGCGGUAUUGGAUAUCCGCGUCCAAGCAGUUAGGCU
rnacentral:rRNA from 1 species